AUUGAACGCUGGCGGCAGGCCUAACACAUGCAAGUCGGACGGUAGCACAGAGGAGCUUGCUCCUCGGGUGACGAGUGGCGGACGGGUGAGUAAUGUCUGGGGAUCUGCCCGAUAGAGGGGGAUAACCACUGGAAACGGUGGCUAAUACCGCAUAACGUCGCAAGACCAAAGAGGGGGACCUUCGGGCCUCGCACUAUCGGAUGAACCCAGAUGGGAUUAGCUAGUAGGCGGGGUAAUGGCCCACCUAGGCGACGAUCCCUAGCUGGUCUGAGAGGAUGACCAGCCACACUGGAACUGAGACACGGUCCAGACUCCUACGGGGGGCAGCAGUGGGGAAUAUUGCACAAUGGGCGCAAGCCUGAUGCAGCCAUGCCGCGUGUAUGAAGAAGGCCUUCGGGUUGUAAAGUACUUUCAGCGGGGAGGAAGGCGAUGUGGUUAAUAACCUUGUCGAUUGACGUUACCCGCAGAAGAAGCACCGGCUAACUCCGUGCCAGCCGCCGCUGUAA
rnacentral:rRNA from 1 species